rnacentral:tRNA from 1 species
GCAGUUGUGGCUCAGUGGUAGAAUACAUACCUCACAUGUCUGAGGCACUGGGUUCAAUCCUCAGCACUGCC